rnacentral:rRNA from 1 species
UCCCUUGACGGCUUCCUAUAAUGCAAGUCGAGCGGAAGAUGGGGAGCUUGCUCCCUGAUGUUAGCGGCGGACGGCGAGUAACACGUGGGUAACCUGCCUGUAAGACUGGGAUAUCUUCGGGAAACCGGGGCUAAUACCGGAUGCUUGUUUGAACCGCAUGGUUCAAACAUAAAAGGUGGCUUCGGCUUCUUCCCCACAGAUGGGACCCGCGGCGCAUUAGCUAGUUGGUGAGGUAAUGGCUCACCAAGGCGACGAUGCGUAGCCGACCUGAGAGGGUGAUCGGCCACACUGGGACUGAGACACGGCCCAACUCCUACGGGAGGCAGCAGUAGGGAAUCUUCCGCAAUGGACGAAAGUCUGACGGAGCAACGCCGCGUGAGUGAUGAAGGUUUUCGGAUCGUAAAGCUCUGUUGUUAGGGGAAGAACAAGUCCCGUUUCUAUUAGGGGGGUCCCUUGACGGUACCUAACCAGAAAGCCACGGCUAAACUACGUGCCAUCAGCCGCGGGUAAUACGUAGGGUGGCAAAGCGUGUUCCGGAAUUAUUGGGGCGUAAGGGGGCUCCCAGGCGGUUUCUUAAUUUCUGAUUGGGAAACCCCCCCGGGCUUCAACCGGGGGAAGGGGUCUUUGGAAAACUGGGGGGAACUUUGAGUUGCAAAAAUGAAGAAGUGGAAAUUCCCCACGUGUAUCGGU